CGAGCGGGCCCCGGCGGCUGCUCCUGCGGGCGGAGACGGGGCGGAGCCUGAGCGGGGGGCGGGGCGGCCCUGCAGGCUCCGCCCUGGCCCGCGCGCCGGGAACAAAGGCGCCCGCGCGCCCGUGGAAAGGACCCUCCGCCCGCCUGCCGCGCCUGCGCCCCGCGACCCCCAGACAGGCCCCGGGCGGGGGCGCGGGGCGCAAUGGCGGCGGGAGCGUGCGCGCUGCUCGCGCUCAACCAGCUCGUCCUUCCGUCCCGCAAAGCUUCCUCACACUGUCCCCGUCGGCCCCGUCACGCGCGGCAGCCCCGCGCCGGCCCGUCAGUCAGUCGCACACGCAUAGGCGGCUGCCCAGCCCACUGUCCCGCACAGGCCCAGCUGCAGCCGUGUCCUCAACCCUGCUCCCUAAGCACUACCCGCACAGCGGCCGGAAGAAGAGACUUGCCCCUGCAAUGUGGACACCCCUGUCACAGAAAAACUGAAGACACCUGUGGUCACAGUGGAGCCCAUCUGACAGAUGUUGAGUCAGGCAGAGCAGGACAACUUCAGAGGCAAGAGGCCCAGCAGAGCACCCAGCUGGUGCCAGAGAAAGAUCCAGGCUUCUGGAAUUUGGCCAGGCCCCCAGGGGCUCCAGAAAUCUCUGUCAACAGGAGCUCAAAUUUUCAGCCUGCUGCCAGGCCCUUAAUCAGAAAACAAGGCCCCAUUUCCUCCUGGGACUUCUGAACCAGCAUCCCAAGCCUCAGAUGAAAAAACUGAGGCACAGAGAGAUUAAGAGACAUGUUUAUGGACAUAGAACUGAGAGGUGGCAGAGAGGGGAUUCAAACCCAGGCAUCCUGGCUGCAGAGUCAAUGCUAUAUUGCCUCUCAUGUAGGUAUGAACUAUUUUGUUGUGUGUUCUCACCCUUUUCCUUAAUACCCCUACCUGAUGUGUUUUUUAUUUUUAGUUAUAGAUAUUCCUUGACUUACAAUGGGGUUACAGCCCAGUGAAACCAUCGUAAGUUGAAAAUACAGUAAGCCAAAAAUGCAUUUACUGGGCCUAACCUCCAGAACAUCAUAGUUUGGUCUAGCCUACUUUAAAUGUGCUCAGAACACUUACACAGGCCCACAGUUGGGCAAAAUCAUCUAACACAAAGCCUGUCCUAUACUAAAGUGUUGAAUGGUUCCUGUAAUUUACUGAAUACUGUAGUGAAAGUGAAAAAUAGAAUGGUUGUACAGGUGCAGAGUGGUUGUUGACCUUGAUCACACAGCUGACUGGGAGUCAUAGCCACUGCCCAGCAUCAUGAGAGAGGAGCAUACUGCGGAUGGCUAGCCAGGAAAAGAUCAAAAUCCAAAAUACGGUUUCUACUGAAUGCAUAUCGCUUUUGCACCAUCAUUAAGAUGAAAAAUUGUAAGUCAGACUGUCAUAAAUCAGGGACCAUCUAUAGUUGGUUAAAUGAUGUCACAGAUUAGGUUCUUUGGGAAGCGGACUCUGGGGCAGAGAUUAGUGUGCAGAAUGUUUGUUAGGGAGUGCUCUUGGGACCAACACUGUGGAAAGGAGAGAAGGAAACAGGACAGGGCACAGGGAGAAGUUCAGCUGUGAUGCAGGCCUGAUGACAGCCGCAGCCAACCUCCAGGGAGCUGUUUUGUCUGGUGCUGGCUUGAAAAUGGCUGGGCCUUCAUAGCCCCACUUCAGUCAGCCCUGGGAAGAGCACAGCCUCAGUCACAUGGCUCUCUGCAGCUGAGGUGAUCUUUGAGAGCUGAGAGAUCCUCCAGCAGUUGGGGCAACAAGUGCUUCCUUGAAGGAGAAUCUGAGUGGCACAUCGGUAUACCUACCUCAAAUGUAUUCCUUUCCAGUCCUUUAAAAAAGUUUAGAGUAUUUAAAACAAAGGACAAAAAUAUUGCACUGUAGAAAUGGAAUGUGCCAUUAGAAGGAGGAAUAUAAUAUGGUUAGUAUGGGUUAACGUGACUGCUGUUACUGAGAAAUGAAUGUGGCUGAGCUUCCUGGUAGGCAAAGCAAAAACUUUUUAUUCUGGUAACAUUCCCUGAUGGAGAAAAAUUUUCUUGGGGUUAAAUUCUAAAAGAAGUUUCUUGGGGUGCCUGGGUGGCUCAGUUGGUGAAGUCCAAUUUCGGCUCAAGUCAUGAUCUCAUGAUUCAUGGGUUCCAGCCCCACAUUGGUCUCUGUGCUGACAGCUCAGAGC